GACGAACGCUGGCGGCGUGCUUAACACAUGCAAGUCGAACGGAAAGGCCCCCUUGUGGGGUACUCGAGUGGCGAACGGGUGAGUAACACGUGAGUAACCUACCCUUGACUUUGGGAUAACUUCAGGAAACUGGGGCUAAUACCGGAUAGGAGCUACUGCUGCAUGGUGGGGGUUGGAAAGUUUCGGCGGUUGGGGAUGGACUCGCGGCUUAUCAGCGUGUUGGUGGGGUAGUGGCUCACCAAGGCUUUGACGGGUAGCCGGCCUGAGUGGGUGACCGGCCACAUUGGGACUGAGAUACGGCCCAGACUCCUACGGGAGGCAGCAGUGGGGAAUAUUGUACAAUGGGCGGAAGCCUGAUGCAGCAACGCCGCGUGCGGGAUGACGGCCUUCGGGUUGUAAACCGCUUUCGCCUGUGACGAAGCGUGAGUGACGGUAAUGGGUAAAGAAGCACCGGCUAACUACGUG
rnacentral:rRNA from 1 species